rnacentral:rRNA from 1 species
ACGCUGGCGGCAGGCCUAACACAUGCAAGUCGAGCGGUAGAGAGAAGCUUGCCUCUCUUGAGAGCGGCGGACGGGUGAGUAAUGCCUAGGAAUCUGCCUGGUAGUGGGGGAUAACGUUCGGAAACGGACGCUAAUACCGCAUACGUCCUACGGGAGAAAGCAGGGGACCUUCGGGCCUUGCGCUAUCAGAUGAGCCUAGGUCGGAUUAGCUAGUUGGUGAGGUAAUGGCUCACCAAGGCGACGAUCCGUAACUGGUCUGAGAGGAUGAUCAGUCACACUGGAACUGAGACACGGUCCAGACUCCUACGGGAGGCAGCAGUGGGGAAUAUUGGACAAUGGGCGAAAGCCUGACCCAGCCAUGCCGCGUGUGUGAAGAAGGUCUUCGGAUUGUAAAGCACUUUAAGUUGGGAGGAAGGGCAUUAACCUAAUACGUUAGUGUUUUGACGUUACCGACAGAAUAAGCACCGGCUAACUCUGUGCCAGCAGCCCGCGGUAAUACAGAGGGUGCAAGCGUUAAUCGGAAUUACUGGGCGUAAAGCGCGCGUAGGUGGUUUGUUAAGUUGGAUGUGAAAUCCCCGGGCUCAACCUGGGAACUGCAUUCAAAACUGACUGACUAGAGUAUGGUAGAGGGUGGUGGAAUUUCCUGUGUAGCGGUGAAAUGCGUAGAUAUAGGAAGGAACACCAGUGGCGAAGGCGACCACCUGGACUAAUACUGACACUGAGGUGCGAAAGCGUGGGGAGCAAAC